GGCUCGUUAGCUCAGUUGGUAGGGCGUUUGGCUUCUAAUGUAACGGUCAAGGGUUCGAGUCCCCUACGGGGCU
rfam:Angiostrongylus costaricensis strain Costa Rica genome assembly, scaffold: ACOC_scaffold0002573